rnacentral:rRNA from 1 species
GAUGAACGCUGGCGGCGUGCCUAAUACAUGCAAGUCGAGCGAACAGACGAGGAACUUGCUCCUCUGACGUUAGCGGCGGACGGGUGAGUAACACGUGGAUAACCUACCUAUAAGACUGGGAUAACUUCGGGAAACCGGAGCUAAUACCGGAUAAUAUAUUGAACCGCAUGGUUCAAUAGUGAAAGACGGUUUUGCUGUCACUUAUAGAUGGAUCCGCGCCGCAUUAGCUAGUUGGUAAGGUAACGGCUUACCAAGGCGACGAUGCGUAGCCGACCUGAGAGGGUGAUCGGCCACACUGGAACUGAGACACGGUCCAGACUCCUACGGGAGGCAGCAGUAGGGAAUCUUCCGCAAUGGGCGAAAGCCUGACGGAGCAACGCCGCGUGAGUGAUGAAGGUCUUCGGAUCGUAAAACUCUGUUAUUAGGGAAGAGCAAAUGUGUAAGUAACUAUGCACGUCUUGACGGUACCUAAUCAGAAAGCCACGGCUAACUACGUG